rnacentral:rRNA from 1 species
UUGGUCAUUUAGAGGAAGUAAAAGUCGUAACAAGGUCUCCGUAGGUGACCUGCGGAGGGAUCAUUACAGAGUUCAUGCCCUCCGGGUAGAUCUCCCCCCACUGUUAUCACUACUCUCGUUGCUUUGGCGGGCCGCUGGGCCCUGCCGGCCGCCGGCCCCGGCUGGCGCGUGCCCGCCAGAGACCUCACAGACUCGAAUGUUAGUGUCGUCCGAGUAACUAUAUAAUCGUUAAAACUUUCAACACGGAUCUCUUGGUUCUGGCAUCGAUGAAGAACGCAGCGAAAUGCGAUAAUAAUGCGAAUUGCAGAAUUCAGUGAGUCAUCGAAUCUUUGAACGCACAUGCGCCCUGUGGUAUUCCGCAGGGCAUGCCUGUUCGAGCGUCAUUUCAACCUCAAGCCUCGCUUGGUGUUGGGCCCUGCCCGCCGCGGCCGGCCCUAAAAUAGUGGCGGCGCCGCCUGGCCCUCAGCGUAGUACAGCUCUCGCUCCAGGUCCGGCGGCAGCCUGCCAGAACCCCCCAACUCUGUGGUUGACCUCGGACAGGUAGGGAUACCCGCUGAACUUAAGCAUAUCAAUAAGCGGAGGA